UCUUAGCUUGCUAAGGCUGAUGGCGACCGGCGCACGGGUGAGUAACACGUAUCCAACCUUCCGUCUACUCUUGGCCAGCCUUCUGAAAGGAAGAUUAAUCCAGGAUGGCAUCAUGAGUUCACAUGUCCGCAUGAUUAAAGGUAUUUUCCGGUAGACGAUGGGGAUGCGUUCCAUUAGAUAGUAGGCGGGGUAACGGCCCACCUAGUCAACGAUGGAUAGGGGUUCUGAGAGGAAGGUCCCCCACAUUGGAACUGAGACACGGUCCAAACUCCUACGGGAGGCAGCAGUGAGGAAUAUUGGUCAAUGGGCGAUGGCCUGAACCAGCCAAGUAGCGUGAAGGAUGACUGCCCUAUGGGUUGUAAACUUCUUUUAUAAAGGAAUAAAGUCGGGUAUGCAUACCCGUUUGCAUGUACUUUAUGAAUAAGGAUCGGCUAACUCCGUGCCAGUAGCCGCGGUAAUACGGAGGAUCCGAGCGUUAUCCGGAUUUAUUGGGUUUAAAGGGAGCGUAGAUGGAUGUUUAAGUCAGUUGUGAAAGUUUGCGGCUCAACCGUAAAAUUGCAGUUGAUACUGGAUGUCUUGAGUGCAGUUGAGGCAGGCGGAAUUCGUGGUGUAGCGGUGAAAUGCUUAGAUAUCACGAAGAACUCCGAUUG
rnacentral:rRNA from 1 species